AUACGUAUGUCGCAAGCGUUAUCCGGAAUUAUUGGGCGUAAAGCGAGUCUAGGCGGCUUGUUAAGUCAGAUGUGAAAAUGCGGGGCUCAACUCCGUAUUGCGUUUGAAACUGGCAGGCUAGAGUACUGGAGAGGUGGGCGGAACUACAAGUGUAGAGGUGAAAUUCGUAGAUAUUUGUAGGAAUGCCGAUAGUGAAGACAGCUCACUGGACAGAUUCUGACGCUAAAGCUCGAAAGCGUGGGGAGCGAACAGGAUUAGAUACCCGAGUAGUCC
rnacentral:rRNA from 1 species